GAUGAACGCUAGCGGCAGGCUUAAUACAUGCAAGUCGAACGGUAACAGCGAAGUUUACUUUGGCUGACGAGUGGCGCACGGGUGAGUAACGCGUACACAAUCUACCUCUAAGUGGGGAAUAGUCUAGGGAAACUUAGAAUAAUACCCCAUGGUAUUAUCGGAUCGCAUGGUCUGAUAAUUAAAGCUCCGGUGCUUGGAGAUGAGUGUGCGUCCUAUUAGCUAGAUGGUAAGGUAACGGCUUACCAUGGCAGUGAUAGGUAGGGGGCGUGAGAGCGUGGUCCCCCACACGGGUACUGAGACACGGACCCG
rnacentral:rRNA from 1 species